GGUAUCUAAACAAUGCUUCUUUUGGAGCAGCAAAAUUAUUCUUCAUAAAUAAACAAGAACAGAAGUCUUUUCCAGGCAAGCAAAUGCCAAGAAAAUUUGUUUCCAAUAGACCUGACUUAAGGAAAAGCAUAAGGGUGUUCUAAACUUGGAACUAAAAUGAUGACAUUUGCCAUCAUUAAAACACAUGAAAAUAUAAAACACAUUGGUAAAGCAAUCACACAAAAAGGAAGAGAAAGGACUUAAGUAGUAACACUGCAGAAAUCCACGAGACCACAAUGACAACCACUAAAAGAAAGAAAAAAAGAAUAUGUACAACAACCAGAAGCAAUAAUACAAUAUGACAAGAACAAAGCCUCACAUAUUAAUAAUAACCUUGAAUGUUAACAGAUUAAACUCUCCACUUAAAAAUUAUAGAAUCAGUGAAUAGAUUUUAAAAAGAAAACAUGAUGUAACUAUAUGCUACUUAUGGGAAAAUCACCUUAUCAUUAAAGGCACAUAUAGACUGAAAGUGAAGGGAUGAAAAAGAUAUUCCAUGAAAACAUAAAUCAAAGUGAGCAGGAGUUGACAUACUUACAACAGAUAAAAUAGAUUUUAAGAACAGUUAUAAAAGAUAAGAAAGUUCAUUACAUA
rnacentral:lncRNA from 1 species